UAACAAGGAUUCCCCUAGUAACUGCGAGUGAAGCGGGAAAAGCUCAAAUUUAAAAUCUGGCGGUUUCACCGUCCGAGUUGUAGUCUGGAGAAGUGCUUUCCGCGCUGGACCGUGUAUAAGUCUCUUGGAACAGAGCGUCAUAGAGGGUGAGAAUCCCGUCUUUGACACGGACUACCAGUGCUUUGUGAUGCGCUCUCGAAGAGUCGAGUUGUUUGGGAAUGCAGCUCAAAAUGGGUGGUAAAUUCCAUCUAAAGCUAAAUAUUGGCGAGAGACCGAUAGCGAACAAGUACCGUGAGGGAAAGAUGAAAAGCACUUUGGAAAGAGAGUUAAACAGUACGUGAAAUUGCUGAAAGGGAAACGCUUGAAGUCAGUCGCGUUGUAUGGAACUCAGCCAUAGCUCUUGCUUGGUGCACUUUCUGUAUGACGGGCCAGCAUCGAUUUUGACCGUCGGAUAAGGGUUGAAGGAAUGUGGCACCUUCGGGUGUGUUAUAGCCUUCAAUCGCAUACGGCGGUUGGGAUCGAGGAACGCAGCGCGCUGCAAGGCAGGGGUUCGCCCACUUUCGCGCUUAGGAUGCUGGCAUAAUGGCUUUAAACGAC
rnacentral:rRNA from 1 species